GCCCAGGUGGCGGAACAGGCAGACGCGCUAUCUUGAGGGGGUAGUGUCCGAAAGGGCGUGUGGGUUCGAAUCCCACCCUGGGCA
rnacentral:tRNA from 1 species